rnacentral:rRNA from 1 species
UACAGAGGUCUCAAGCGUUGUUCGGAAUUACUGGGCGUAAAGGGCUCGUAGGCGGCCAACUAAGUCAGACGUGAAAUCCCUCGGCUUAACCGGGGAACUGCAUCUGAUACUGGAUGGCUUGAGAUUGGGAGAGGGAUGCGGAAUUCCAGGUGUAGCGGUGAAAUGCGUAGAUAUCUGGAGGAACACCGGUGGCGAAGGCGGCAUCCUGGACCAACACUGACGCUGAGGAGCGAAAGCCAGGGGAGCAAACGGG